rnacentral:lncRNA from 1 species
AAAUAAAAGAAUCAAAUUUUAUUAUAUAAAAAGUAUAAUAAUACCACUCGGAUCCACCUCACUGUGAUCCGCCUCACUGGGACCUGCCAGUGCAGGACCCUCUGGCAAUGGAGCCGGUGCGGCAACGGAGAUCGGUGAAGGCACCUCAACCUCUGGGUAGACUGUAAAUGCGAACAUCGUCGUCUGUCUCCUGGUGCCAUAUCUAUAAUUUUUUAUAUAUAAAUAAAUAUAAUAUUAAAUAAUAAU